GCCGGGGUGGCGAAAUGGCAGACGCGCCGGACUCAAAAUCCGGUGGUGGCAACACCAUGAGGGUUCAAGUCCCUCCUCCGGCA
rnacentral:tRNA from 1 species